rnacentral:rRNA from 1 species
UACGUAGGUGGCAAGCGUUGUCCGGAGUUAUUGGGCGUAAAGCGCGCGCAGGCGGUGCGGUAAGUCUCUGGUGAAAGCGCUCGGCUUAACUGGGCGAGGGCCGGGGAGACUGCCACGCUGGAGGGGAGCAGAGGCGAGUGGAAUUCCGGGUGUAGUGGUGAAAUGCGUAGAGAUCCGGAGGAACACCAGUGGCGAAGGCGGCUCGCUGGGCUCUACCUGACGCUGAGGCGGCGAAAGCGUGGGGAGCGAACCGG